UCAUCUUUCCGAUACCGCAAAGUACAUAUAAAUAUAACCGCCGCUCGGCUAUAGUUUUCAAGUUUCAAAACAGUUUAUGUUUAAAACUAUAUGUAUUGUUUAACAAUUUAUUCUAUAAACCUUCGUUUUGUAAACAAUUUUUCAAUGGUGGAUUCAUCCAUAAUAAUGAAGAAAAUAAUAUAGCAUUGCAUACUAUGUUGGAGAGCACAAGGCAGGUAUGAGUUCCCAAAACAUAGGACGGCAUCAUGGGAAACUCCUGUGGGACUGAUGUUUGCCUAUAGUCGGUGACUACAUGGGAGGCUUGUGGCUGGGACUUUUGGGUACCUGCUGGUUUGUCGAUCUGUGGUGGAGAAUUUUGGUGAAGUUGGCAGGCCCAUCCCUGCCAAGAUCAUUCACAUUACUAUCACGUUGGGAUUCUUUGUCACCCUGCACUGGCUUUGGUCAGGGCAGGGUGCAAAGGGUGAGUAACACCAGAACAAGAAUUAAUAACUCGGUGAAUAAAACAUAAAAUUUCUGGAUAUGGAAAAUAAAGAAAAUAAAAUUUAUGAUACAGGGGAGGGAUACUACAGCAACGACAUAGUGAAGAGUUCUAAAGCAGGUCCCGCUACGUCGUGGUAUAUCUAGUAUUCUUUGGCAUAUACAUAUUUUCACUGAUACUCGUACCGUUAUAUUUUAAGAGUGAUCCCAUCAAAAAACAAGACGACGAUAAAACAUCAGAAGCCGGUAACGAUCUAGAAAAGAACCUAACGCUCAGCUAAAACAGAUUUAAUUCAUAAAUCAGGUAAUUUCUGUUUUUUAUUAUUUGGCACGUUAUAGGAAUUUGCGUUGUAAGGACUUACGUUAUACGGGAGUCUACUGUAAUUAAGGAAAUUACUGUUUUAUGGAAGGGUGAUAAGAUUAAUACAUUAUUUCAAUUCUUUAUUCUCAAUAAUUCCAUUGCCAAGCAUAUAAAAAUAUAUGGCACCAAAUUAUACAUUAUUAUUACUAGUAAUGUAAUUAACAUUUAGUACGUUUUUAUUACCUACAUUUGAUGUAGUUAUGUAAUAUAAUAUCAGAACGAACAUUAUAAAAAUGUAUAAAAUAUUCUAUAAAAUAUUCUAUAAAAAGUACCAAAAGAAUUGUACACAUGGAUGUAUUAAAAAUCUAU